CCCUCUUCAGAUUGACCAGCCAAGCGCCAGC
rnacentral:piRNA from 1 species